rnacentral:rRNA from 1 species
AUACGGAGGAUCCAAGCGUUAUCCGGAUUUAUUGGGUUUAAAGGGUGCGUAGGCGGGAAAGGAAGUCAGUUGUGAAAUUUUAUGGCUCAACCAUAAACUUGCAGUUGAAACUCUUUUUCUUGAGUACACAUGAGGUGGGCGGAAUUUGUGGUGUAGCGGUGAAAUGCAUAGAUAUCACAAGGAACUCCAAUUGCGAAGGCAGCUCACUGGGGUGUAACUGACGCUAAUGCACGAAGGUGUGGGUAUCAAACAGGAUUAGAUACCCUGGUAGUCCACACAGUAAACUAUGAAUACUCGCUGUUUGCGAUACACAGUAAGCGGCUAAGCGAAAGCAUUAAGUAUUCCACCUGGGGAGUACGUCGGCAACGAUGAA